GCCCCGUCCCUUUCAGCCAACUUCGUGUGGAAAAGCGACACCUGGCGCUGGUUGUUCAAAGACCCCCGCACCGGGAGGGGAAGCGGGCAGGGAGAACCAAGAGGACAGAGAUGCAACUGGACCUGGAGGCAGUGCGGAGGGCUGCAACAGGAUCCGCAGCAGCGGAAGCGACAGCGACAGCGAAUGAACUGAGAAUAUAAACCCCAAAUCGGUGCCUGGACUAAAGGACUGCGAUUGGGCCCAGCGGUGACGAAGCAGCAAUCUGUGACUGCUCGAUCGCGAGAAUCACCGAGCACCAACUUACAGUACACCCGGGUUGACACCACAGUGGCCACCUGCUCAUAUGUUGCAAGCAGGGUUGUCGCUCUAUUCCCGCUGUUACCAACAGAUUCCUCAGCAAACGGAGCUAACUUCGAAACCUCCAACUUGGUCCUAAACCUUCUGUCAUUUUAGGCCAAAGACAUAACUAAUGACUCAUUUUAUGGUUUUUCUUUUCCUGUUAAUGAUCUUGUACAUACUUGUUUUGUUUUGAAGCCUGUUCGAGACUUUACACAGUGAAGCCAAGUCAUAAUGUUUUGAGUGAAAAGCUCUGAAUUAUUAAGAAAGAACAGCAUUGGUAGUCUGAAGGUUUGGAGGAUGUCGCAGAAAGGUCGGGUGUGGACAGAAGCAUUGAUUGAGGGAACGUGAGGAAAGAGAUGAGGGAGAUGAUGAUGGAAGGGGGCAAGUAGUCAAGGUUCUAAAGGAACCUGUACAUUAAAAGAAAAGGAACAAUUUGGGAAGAGAGGUAACAGUAAAAAAAAAAAAACGGUGUUCUCAGAGCUACAAUUUAACUCAAGUAUAAGCAGCCACAAUUUUAGAAACCCUCCGUAUAGGGGGCAUUAAUCUGAUACCGCACUCUCAGUUACCUUAAAAAAAAAAAAAAAAA